CCCUCUGUGGCGUAAUGGGUCAUUGUGUCUGGCUGUUAACCAGAAGGUUGGUGGUUCAAGCCCACCCAGGGGUG